rnacentral:rRNA from 1 species
GCUAGUAAUGGCAGGUCAGCAUACUGCCGUGAAUACGUUCCCGGGCCUUGUACACACCGCCCGUCACACCAUGAGAGUUGGAGAUACCCGAAGCCUGUGAGCUAACAAACGAGGCAGCAGUCGAAGGUAGAAUCAAUGAUUGGGGUGAAGUCGUAACAAGGUAAC